rnacentral:sRNA from 1 species
AGACAGCCCUGAGAUCACCUAAAAAGCUGCUACCAAGACAGCCACGAAGAUCCUACCAAAAUGAAGCGCUUCCUCUUCCUCCUACUCACCAUCAGCCUCCUGGUUAUGGUACAGAGAGAAGCCUGGAUGUUCAGGAAUGCAAAGAAGACAGGACUCUCCCAUUUCAGAAACAACUGGAGUCUCAAAAGCGACUGCUAUUCCAGGAGGCAGCUUUGGUAGCAUCCCAGGUGCCCAGAGGGGAGUCAGUACAGCAGACCGGAGCCAUCAAGUUCUUGAUCAAGAACAGCUUGAUCACCAUCAAAACCAGCUUAAUCUCCAUCAAGAACAGUUCUAGUUGCAGCUCCAUCAAGCAUUAAGGACAGCUCGAUCACCAUCUGGCCACUUCCCCACCCCACAUCCAGCCACCCACGCUUUGCCAAGUGCUUUCUCACUCAGCCCUGGCUCAUGUGACCUUCACAACUGUGAUGAACUUCUCCCCACUCAGAAGAUGAAACUGAGGCUCAGGGAAGCUAAGCCCUUUGCCAGGCUAGGAAGGUCAAGGGCCAGGGCUCCCCUGUCUCCCUCUAUGCCAGAAGGGCUGG